AAUCAUGCAAGAAACCAUUUCAUGCGUGGAGAAAAAUGGUCGGCGAUUAAGGGAAGAGUCCAACUUAUUUUGGACUCUAAUUUCUCAUUCAAGUUCAAACCUUUUUGAACUCAAACAAAAACCAACCUCAUCCAGAACCAAAAGAGAUUAGAUGUCGGCACAAAUCCUCUUUUGAGUGUGAGAAAAAAUUCAUGUAAAAACUUUUCUCACAUGAAGAAAAGUGGGCACAA
rnacentral:lncRNA from 1 species